rnacentral:rRNA from 1 species
GUCCACGCCGUAAACGUUGGGCGCUAGGUGUGGGGAACCUUCCACGUUCUCCGUGCCGCAGCUAACGCAUUAAGCGCCCCGCCUGGGGAGUACGGCCGCAAGGCUAAAACUCAAAGGAAUUGACGGGGGCCCGCACAAGCGGCGGAGCAUGCGGCUUAAUUCGACGCAACGCGAAGAACCUUACCAAGGCUUGACAUAUAGGGAAAUCUCACAGAGAUGUGAGGUCCGCAAGGGCCCUAUACAGGUGGUGCAUGGUUGUCGU